AACGGAGGGGGCAAGUGUUCUUCGGAAUGACUGGGCGUAAAGGGCACGUAGGCGGUGAAUCGGGUUGAAAGUGAAAGUCGCCAAAAACUGGCGGAAUGCUCUCGAAACCAAUUCACUUGAGUGAGACAGAGGAGAGUGGAAUUUCGUGUGUAGGGGUGAAAUCCGGAGAUCUACGAAGGAACGCCAAAAGCGAAGGCAGCUCUCUGGGUCCCUACAGACGCUGGGGUGCGAAAGCAUGGGGAGCGAACAGG
rnacentral:rRNA from 1 species